GAUGAACGCUGGCGGCGUGCCUAAUACAUGCAAGUCGAGCGAACGGACGAGAAGCUUGCUUCUCUGAUGUUAGCGGCGGACGGGUGAGUAACACGUGGAUAACCUACCUAUAAGACUGGGAUAACUUCGGGAAACCGUAGCUAAUACCGGAUAAUAUUUUGAACCGCAUGGUUCAAAAGUGAAAGACGGUCUUGCUGUCACUUAUAGAUGGAUCCGCGCUGCAUUAGCUAGUUGGUAAGGUAACGGCUUACCAAGGCAACGAUGCAUAGCCGACCUGAGAGGGUGAGCGGCCACACCGGAACUGAGACACGGUCCAGACUCCUACGGGAGGCAGCAGUAGGGAAUCUUCCGCAAUGGGCGAAAGCCUGACGGAGCAACGCCGCGUGAGUGAUGAAGGUCUUCGGAUCGUAAAACUCUGUUAUUAGGGAAGAACAUAUGUGUAAGUAACUGUGCACAUCUUGACGGUACCUAAUCAGAAAGCCACGGCUAACUACGUG
rnacentral:rRNA from 1 species